UCACAUUUUACAGUAUGAUUUAAAGAAACAGGUACAGCAUUGUUACAUGAUUUUAUGUUGCCAACCCAGCUGUCAGAAUUAUAUUCCCAACACACGGGCCUUGAGUUUUGCCACCCCCCUGGAGUAGAAAGUCUUGGUCUGGUUUAAACUGACUUGAGAGAAAAAGGUGUGAGAUUUCUCAAACCAAACCAGGCCCUUUGGUAGCCUCUGGCCAUGCGAGUUUUUAAGACCAGUGGUUAGAAACACAAAGGGAAGCCUAUAAUGUGAACAGUGCAGACCUGAUGAAGAUUCACCAGUAAUCCUGGCUUACAAAAUUCUGAAUUGACAAAAGAAGGGAUGAGCAUCAGUUAAGCAAAGAAUGUUUUUUUACCUUUUCCUAAUGUCUUUUUUCCCCCUCUAAAGGAAGCUGAAUGUCCUCUCCUGUAGAAGAUUUCAGAUUAAGGUGGAUGUAAUGCCCAUCAACUGGCUGGAUGGCUCCCCUUUCAUCUUUGCAGAGAUCUCCUCCCUCCCAUCCAGAAUGUGGUCGGGAAUAGUUGUGAAAUGGGAAUUUCAGCCUUCGGAAGACGGGGAGAAAUGUCUCUCAUACAGCAUCGACGGGCCUUUAUUUUGAAAAGACCCAUGAAGAAAAGAACCAGCCCUAUUUUAUUCAGGAAAAGGCCCAAAUAGAGACCCAUCAUGUAUUGUUGCGGUGAGCCUGUUGGGGAAAGACAACAGAUCAUUUUAUUUGUAAUAAAGCUGAAAGUCUCUCUUUUAA